UAGGGAAUCUUGGUCAAUGGGCGCAAGCCUGAACCAGCGAUGCCGCGUGUGCGAAGAAGGCCCUAGGGUUGUAAAGCACUUUCAGUCGCGAAGAAAAGUUGUGGAUUAAUAAUCCGCAGCCUUGACGUUAUCGACAGAAGAAGUACCGGCUAACUCCGUGCCAGCAGCCGCGGUAAUACGGAGGGUACGAACGUUAAUCGGAAUUACUGGGCGUAAAGCGCGCGUAGGCGGUUUGAUAAGUGGGAUGUGAAAGCCCCGGGCUCAACCUGGGAACUGCAUUCCAAACUGUCAGGCUAGAGUGUGGUAGAGGGAGGUAGAAUUUCCUGUGUAGCGGUGAAAUGCGUAGAUAU
rnacentral:rRNA from 1 species